rnacentral:rRNA from 1 species
GACGAACGCUGGCGGCGUGCCUAAUACAUGCAAGUCGGGCGAAGUUUUUCUGGUGCUUGCCCUAGAAACACUUAGCGGCGAACGGGUGAGUAACACGUAAAGAACCUGCCUCAUAGACUGGGACAACUAUUGGAAACGAUAGCUAAUACCGGAUAACAGUAUUUCUCGCAUGAGAGAUAUUUAAAAGUUGGUUAUGCUAACACUAUGAGAUUGCUUUGCUGUGCAUUAGCUCGUUGGUGGGGUAAAGGCCCACCAAGGCGACGAUGCAUAACCGACCGGAGAGGGUGAUCGGCCGCACUGGGACUGAGACACGGUCCGUACUCCUAGGGGAGGAAGCAGUAGGAGAUCUUCCGCAAUGGGCGAAAGCCUGACGGGGCAACGCCGCGUGAGUGAAGAAGGAUUUCGGUUCGUAAAGCUCUGUUGUUAGGGAGGAAGGGAUAUUUAGUAACUAUACAUGUAAGAGACGGUACCUAACCAGAAAGCCACGGCUAACUACGUG